GAUGAAGAACGCAGCGAAAUGCGAUAAGUAGUGUGAAUUGCAGAAUUCAGUGAAUCAUCGAAUCUUUGAACGCACAUUGCGCCCCUUGGUAUUCCGGGAGGUAUGCCUGUUCGAGCGUCAUUUGUACCCUCAAGCUCUGCUUGGUGUUGGGUGUUUGUUCCGCCUCUGUGUGUGAACUCGCCUCAAAACAAUUGGCAGCCGGCGUACUUGUUUCGGAGCGCAGCACAUUUUGCGAUCCAGAUCAACGUACAGCGGCAUCCAAGAAGCCUUAUUUAACGCUCUUGACCUCGGAUCAGGUAGGGAUACCCGCUGAACUUAAGCAUAUCAAUAAGCGGAGGA
rnacentral:misc_RNA from 1 species